UUCGCAAUGCCCGAAAGGGUGACGAAGCGACGCCGCGUGUGGGAAGAAGGCCUUCGGGUUGUAAACCACUGUCGGGAGUUAAGAAAUGCAAGGAUAUGAAUAGUGUCUUUGCUUGACUAAGGCUCCGGAGGAAGCCACGGCUAACUCUGUGCCAGCAGCCGCGGUAAUACAGAGGCGGCAAGCGUUGUUCGGAAUUAUUGGGCGUAAAGAGCACGUAGGCGGCUAUGUAAGUCGGUUGUGAAAGCCUUCCGCUCAACGGGAGAACAGCAUCCGAUACUGCAUGGCUUGAGUGCGGGAGGGGAGAGUGGAACUUCUGGUGGAGCGGUGAAAUGCGUAGAUAUCAGAAGGAACGCCGGCGGCGAAAGCGGCUCUCUGGCCCAUAACUGACGCUGAGUGUGCGAAAGCUAGGGGAGCAAACGGGAUUAGAUACCCCGGUAGUCCUAGCCGUAAACGAUGGGCACUAAUAGAGGGGUUUU
rnacentral:rRNA from 1 species